rnacentral:sRNA from 1 species
UCCGUAGGUGAACCUGCGGAAGGAUCAUUAAAAAACUUACCAAAACACUGUUUUAGAUUUAUAAAACCCACCAGUUAAGUUCAAUUAAACAAAAUAUAAAACUUUCAACAACGGAUCUCUUGGUUCUCGCAUCGAUGAAGAACGCAGCGAAAUGCGAUACGUAGUAUGACUUGCAGACGUGAAUCAUCGAAUCUUUGAACGCACAUUGCGCCUUGGGGCAUUCUCCAAGGCAUGCCUGUUUGAGCGUGAUUUCUUCUCACCGCCCAGGUGGUUUUGCAUCCGCUAAAUAACAUAUCCGCAGCGAAGUCUACGCUUUCACUGCACCAUGCUAUUUCCUCAAAUCAGGUAGGACUACCCGCUGAACUUAAGCAUAUCAAUAAGCGGAGGAAAAGA